CAAAAGUUUUUUUAAUACUCUCUCUUACCUCUCGGCUCUCACUUUUUCUGACAAAAACAAACAACCCCUUUGGGUUUUGUUUUAGUUUUUUUUAUAUAGUUCUUAAUUUCUUCAAAAGGGACUUUGAACUAGAUUAGCACACAAAGAUUGUGGUGUUCAUACUACAUAAAAGGAGAGCAAGUUUUGGGUACUUGGAUAGUUGGAGGGCUGGUCUUUUGCUCAAAGAAGGUACACAAAUCGGAAUCAGAACUUUGGGUGUCUCCCCGAAUAGAGAGAUUCUAACUUGAAUGUUUUCACCUACAUCUUAAGGAAAUCUUCAAGGAUUGAACCGAAAUCGAUCAAUUUAUUCAUGCAUGGCAAAGAUUAUAUUUCUAAAGUCGAGGCCACUCGUAGUUUUGAGAUUUUCUAUUAAUGUGUCCGGUUUCGUUGCGAUCGUGAGGUCAAGCCUUCAAGUGAUGUGUAUAUAGUUUUGCUUUCAUGCAAGACAUCUUCCGUUUUGUUCUCCAAUGUAGGAAGAAGUUAAUGUUUUCGAUUAUGGGAUGUAUUUCUUUUAUAAGAUAGAUUUAUACUUUUGCUACCAUUUGUUGAUGAUGAAAGUCCUGCCAAAGUUAUUUCUACCCUCA